AUAAAUUGAGACAACUGUAAAUAUCAAAUUUUGACUAAGAUAAAAAUAUUUUCUUUAAAAGAAAAAUGAAUAAAUAAAGGAUAAUAGGGUGGUUAGAAUUGGGUUCCUUUGCCCCAACCAGAUUAGGGUUUGGAACCCUAACCUAAUCUCUUAUAUAAUCCUUGUUUCAUAAACAAUGAAUGGGGCUUAGCAAAAACUCAAAAAAAAGAAGAGGCUUAACCUAAUCCCAAAAGAGACACUUGACUAAUCCUAAUCCUAAAAUUGAAGGCAGACCCAAUUAGAGAAAAAAAAAGAAGAGCAAGAGGCAAGGCAAUCCCUACUAUCCUAAUAGCAUCACAUCAAUCCGUUCUUUAGUUUAGGCUAAGACUAACAGGUAUACUUUUCUCCCUAUUGUAAGCUCAUUUACUAUCACUUUCUACGUCUCUAUUCUUUUUUAUAGAUUUGGAUUGUUGCAACAACAAUCUCUUGAGACCCUGGUUCUCAAGACUCAACCUCUCAGGACCAACUCACAGGCCACCGCUGGCGUAGGUGGCUCACCGCGGGAUUCGUGACGUCCACCAUGGGCAGCCAACAGAAGCUGGUGACCUCCCAAGGCUCAGGAUGGCCUCUCCUUCUAAUGUUGACCACGGGUCAGCCGCUUCCUUUUCUGUUUCUCCAUGGCAGUUUCGGUUAUCUUCUUCCUUCCUUUCUUUUCUUUGGUUGUUUUCUAAUUUGUUCUCUUUACUUUUUUGUUCUUUUUUUUUUCUAUUUCUGUAUUGUUAUUAUCAUUAUUUUGGUUUUUGUUUCCAUUCAAUUCUUUUGUUCGUGUAUUCUUAGGUUUUAGUUGCUUUUUUAC
rnacentral:lncRNA from 1 species